rnacentral:rRNA from 1 species
UAGGUGAACCUGCGGUGGGAUCAUUAAAUAAUCUCAACCUUGGGGCUAUUUGUUUGUGGGCGUAGUUGUUUCAUUGUUUUUGGGGAAUGUGUGCUUUUCUUUAUUGGACUGUAUGCUUCUUGGAGAAUGAGGAAUGACUAUUGCUUGCAACUGAGCUCUGCUUGUGUGAAUCUUGUGAGUUGCAUGGAGAGGAUAUCUGAUAUCUAAUCCGGCAAUGUGAGAAUAGUUUUGGCGGGUGUAUUGUGAGAGUGCAUAUUAUGUGCUAUUACAAGCCCCCGCCAGCUGUUCUCUCUAACAUAAACACUAUCAAACAAUCAAUCAACACAUAUCUCGAGGACUAAACACCCUCAUCAAUUCAAUUACAACUAUCCGUGGUGGAUCACUUGGCUCUUGCAUCGAUGAAGAACGUAGCGAAUUGCGAAAAUUACUGCGAAUUGCUUUAGCGUGAAUCAUUGAGUCUUUGAACGCACAUUGCACUCUGUACUUCUGUGCAGAGUAUGCCUGUUUGAGCAUCAGAUUGACACCACUUGGUCAUGAUAUUUUUAGGCUUGAAAAAUCCUUAAAAAGUUGUGGCUGAGGACUGUGAGCGCUUUCCAACCCUUAUUAAUGAGGGUUGGUCGCUUCAAAUACAAGAGGACAGAUUUUCAGUGGCCGACUCGAUUCGGAGCACUGUGAGCGAGAGGCAGCGUGCACAUUCAAUUUUGCAUUCUGUUGUCCAGACCGUGAAGCGUGGUUGGCCAGAGACUAGUAGCGGACGCAAGUCUGCGAACAUUUUGAUUAUCCAUCGGCAAGCAAUUAACUUUGUUUGCCAUCACACACAUGGUCGCUACGAGACAGCAGGAUACACGCAAUUUGGAAUGUAAAGGCUGAAUCGUUUGAGCUCACAAUUGCGACAAAUCACUUAACUGUGCCCUAUUGCCUCUAUUCAUGUUUGCAAUCUUUACAAAUCAUCAAAAUGAUCUCAAAUCAGGUAGGACUACCCGCUGAACUUAAGCAUAUC